AGCAGUCGCCGCGGGAAUACAGAGGGUGCGAGCGUUAAUCGGAUUUACUGGGCGUAAAGCGUGCGUAGGCGGCUUUUUAAGUCGGAUGUGAAAUCCCUGGGCUUAACUUAGGAAUUGCAUUCGAUACUGGGAAGCUAGAGUAUGGGAGAGGAUGGUAGAAUUCCAGGUGUAGCGGUGAAAUGCGUAGAGAUCUGGAGGAAUACCGAUGGCGAAGGCAGCCAUCUGGCCUAAUACUGACGCUGAGGUACGAAAGCAUGGGGAGCAAACAGGAUUAGAUACCCGCGUAGUCCCUGUCUCUUAUAC
rnacentral:rRNA from 1 species